UACAGAGGUCCCAAGCGUUGUUCGGAAUUACUGGGCGUAAAGGGCUCGUAGGCGGCCAACUAAGUCAGACGUGAAAUCCCUCGGCUUAACCGGGGAACUGCGUCUGAUACUGGUUGGCUUGAGUGUGGGAGAGGGAUGCGGAAUUCCAGGUGUAGCGGUGAAAUGCGUAGAUAUCUGGAGGAACACCGGUGGCGAAGGCGGCAUCCUGGACCAUUACUGACGCUGAGGAGCGAAAGCCAGGGGAGCAAACGGG
rnacentral:rRNA from 1 species